GGUACUAAAAGUGCGGGACCUGCCCCCGAGAUGCAGGUGCUCUUCUCUCUUCUCCGGAGCAACACCAUCCCAGCCUCGUGAAUGAGUUUACAUUGUUCGAGUUUGUUUUCUUUGGCGUUUGAUGGUCUUCUCUUCUCUUCGGUUUUUUUUUAUUAUUAUUUUGUGGCGCUGGGUAAAAGUUUCGCUGGCUGUUCUUCGCAGAAAGUUGGGCUUCUUCUUGUGGCCCUUGUCUACCUGUUUCUUCUCAGUCGGUUUCUUCGAUCUGCGCGCCGAUUGGCAAGUGCGCCAAUUCAGCUAAUGGGGUUAAGCCUUCAAUAAUGCCGCAACAAAGUGACAACCAACAAGAGUUACUUUCCUACUCGCAAAUUGCCUUGCGUGGCAACUAAUUACCCGAACAAUCGCAGCUGAUGGGGAUCGUCGCGGCACGCACCAGCCAUUAUCCAUUAUCCAUUGGCCAGGUUAUUCACACCAGACCCAACAGGUACAAGUGCGAGUUGCAGGUUGCGGGUCUGGGAUGGAGUGGAGUACAGCUACAACUCCAACUGCGUGUCCAUGUCCAAGUCCAAGUCCAAGUCCAUGUCCAAGUCUCAAUCAAAAGCACAUACUGUGGCAGGUAUGUGGUUAUAAUUUUUAUGUUUAGGCAUGCAUGUUAGCAUUAACAUCCCAGUGGGCCGCAAUUUCUUUUUCUUUCGCGCAAGCCAUAUACUUUCCAUUUUCAUGAGCAAGUGCUCCACAAAUGGCAGCCAGAUAAAACACACAUAACAUAAUAAUGGAAAAAAAGAGCCAGAAACAACGACUGCCGCACACUCGAAACAAAAGCGACUCAAGAACCCAGAAAAGUGACAGUGAAGAGUCAUAUGAGUAUAAUUCAUUCUGGUUCUUGGCUUUCGAGCUAAUACAAUGAUGAAUAAGCUGAGUUCUGCCCUAUAACUCGCACUAUAAAUUACUGCAUAUUUCUUAUGGUGUGAUAUGAUAUUUCUGCCAGUGUAUCUGCUAGCGCAGCAGCCCUGACGUGACGCAUGCCAUGUCUAACCAUAUAAAUCAAAUCGUUCAGCUGAUAAAUUGUGUCUAAGCGCAACACUUGACUGGCUCCUGGCUCAAACUUCGUCUGCAAUCGCUGCUCUAUGUUUUGUGAAAACGCCACGCCCACCGCCGGAUCCGCCUUAGCGCCAAAAGUCUCCUCUUUCUAAUAUAAAACGGCAUAAAAACAGCUUCUGUGCCGGUUAGAGCCGCACUCCCGAUUGUUGCUUCAAUCUGCAUAAAUGCAAAUUAUGAAAAAUGAAUCAUGGCCAAAGGUUCGAGCACUGACAGGCACUGAGAAAAAUCGCAGGUCAUGGUGCGCAUUUUUUCCACGUGCAUAACUUGCCGGUUGUCUCAGAUACUUUUUCAUCUGCAAGUAGGCCGCCAGAUGCAAUCUGCACUCCAAUUUUCAGCCCACCAAUGCGGCAAUGAAAUUCAUGCAGCUCAAUUAAGCUCUCGUAAUUUAAUGUUUGUAUGUAGUUGUUUGUUUCAUAUGCAAAUUCAAAGACAACCUAUGGUAGAUGACUUAGCCAUUAUGAUUUUGGGAUGUUGCCGCUGGGGAGGUGGCAUGUCGGCCAAAUGAAUGUACUUUUCAAUGCCAAUAAAGAUUAAUGUGUCCGCA